rnacentral:pre_miRNA from 14 species
AGACUGGCAGGGCCACAACCAGCACAGAGUGGCAUGACCCAGGCAUCUCUGGGUGAGUAUCUCUUUGAGCGCCUCAUUCUCAAGCACCAUUAGGCCUCUCGGUUUUCC